rnacentral:lncRNA from 1 species
GGUCCCCAUCUGCAUGAAGAAGAGCAAGCGCUGCGUUCUGCACCUGGGAUGCGGCAGCCCUGGCUGUACGUACAGAGUGGGGGGGCGAGGGGCUGGAGAUCAUCCCUGCCAAAAGGGAGGGAUCUGGGCGUUGUGGUUGCUGACAACUUGAAUCUGAGCUGGCAGUGUGCCCUGGGCACAGGGUUUGAGUUUGGGUGGUCCUUUGGGGAGCCAGGGGUUGGACUUGAUGGUCCCUGUGUGUCCCUUCCAACUCAGGAUAUUCUAUGAUUCUGUGAUAUCCGUGGUUUGCCUGGGAAAUCCCUGAUGUUUUUUUCUGUCCAUUUUUCAUGGCUAGCGAGCUGUGAGAAGUGAAGGAAUGGCAGUGCGUGCUUAACCGGGCUGCGUGGCAAGCAGGUCCGCUGGGCUGCCGUAUAAGGAUGCAUCCAGACUUCCAAAUCACCUCCUUUAAGAAGGCCGAAUAGUCUUUCAGUGAUUGUUCUGGGCAGCUCACACCACUGGGUGUAUAAUUCAUUUCACUUGGAAUUUCAGGGUCAGACAUAAAUGUCUGAGAAGGAAGUGGGAGGCUGAACUGAUAUUUGGAAAAAUGAAAAAUGUUUAAAAUGUUUUUGCAAGAUAAGCCCUCAGCAAACAGUCGUCCUGUUCCACUUUUGGCCAGUCUCAAUGCUUGUCUUCCAGAAUGUCUGCGUGUGGAUGAAUUGCAACAGGAUCCUGGGAACUUUUAGGAAAGGUAGGAAGGAGGACCCGGGGAACUACAGGCCGGUGAGCCUCACCUCUGUGCCUGGGAAGAUCAUGGAGCAGAUCCUCCUACAAGAGGAAGAAACUUACAGGAGAAAAAAACUACAGGAAAGAUUGCUUCACGUGUAAUGAAAAGCUAGUGUCCAGAAGAUCACUGCGGCCAGAUGCCAAUUUUGAUGCCCUCGUCAGUAAGACUUGUCCAAGCCCUGAUGUAUGUGAAGCUCAUCAGGAGGGAAUGCUAGCAAGAAUCAGCUAACACAAUAGCAGCAAGCUUUCAGUGACAGCGUUCAGGAAGGGUGAUGAUUCAGGCUGGGACCAGAUACCUUGGUGUCACUGGAAUCCAUGGAGCUGACACAGUCCUCUGAUGGCUGGAUUUCUGCUUGCUAAGGGUAUUCCUUCUGGUUUCUUGGCUUUUCAGGUG